ensembl:lncRNA
CUGUCCCGAGAGUCCUUGGGCCACAGCUCAAGUUCCAGCCUCGCCCAGCCACCUGUCCGAGUGUCUCGCCACAUAGUCCACGCUGCCCUUGAAUUUAUGGCAAUCCUCCUGCCUCAGCCUCCCUCAUGCUGUGAUCACAGGCACGCGCCACCAGGCCCAGUAGAAGUGAGCAUUUUUGCAGUGAAUCUUCCUAGAGGUUAGAGAGCAUUACUGAUCCCCACUCUGCAGAUUGGGAAACUGAGGGUCAGAGGGGUUCGUCAGGGUGCCGGAGCACACAGCCUGAGUGCAGAGGCGCCGGCCUCCAGGCAAACAGCAAUUGCGAGGAAUAAUAUUGUUAGAUCAUUUUCCUCACUAGUCCGAGUCUGCAGCACAUAACGUUCACAUCCCUUGUGCAGAGCUGGUGCAAGCACAGAGCGUAUCCUUACCCCCUUUUCGUCUGCUCCCUCCCGGUCUCAUCCUCUCCCCUCUGAGAAGACCCUUCUUCCUGCUUCCUGUCGUCAGCCUUGCUGGGCUCCUUGUUUACACUCUGGGUUUCUCCUGUAGGAGAAGCCAUGCGAUGUUAAAGCUUGUGAGAAAUAAUAUUUUAGUAUAACUUUUGUGUGUGUAGUACUGGAAUUAAACACAAGGCCUUCGAACAAAAGGACAUCCCCAGUCCCUGGCGUUAGCCAGACAAAGUGUGUGCCACCAUGCACAGCCC